rnacentral:rRNA from 1 species
CGGACUGUGGUCUGCAACUCGACCACACGAAGCUGGAAUCGCUAGUAAUCGCGAAUCAGCAUGUCGCGGUGAAUACGUUCCCGGGUCUUGUACACACCGCCCGUCACACCAUGGGAGUCAGCAACGCCCGAAGUCAGUGACCUAACCGAGAGGAAGGAGCUGCCGAAGGCGGGGCAGGUAACUGGGGUGAAGUCGUAACAAGGUACC